rnacentral:rRNA from 1 species
CCGUAGCCCAAGAGAUCGGGAUAACACCUGGAAACAGAUGCUAAUACCGGAUAACAAUAGAUGAUGCCUAUCAACUNUUUAAAAGAUGGUUCUGCUAUCACUCUUGGAUGGACCUGCGGUGCAUUAGCUAGUUGGUAGGGUAACGGCCUACCAAGGCGAUGAUGCAUAGCCGAGUUGAGAGACUGAUCGGCCACAUUGGGACUGAGACACGGCCCAAACUCCUACGGGAGGCAGCAGCU